rnacentral:rRNA from 1 species
CCUACGGGUGGCAGCAGUGGGGAAUAUUGGACAAUGGGCGAAAGCCUGAUCCAGCCAUGCCGCGUGUGUGAAGAAGGCCUUCGGGUUGUAAAGCACUUUCAGUUGGGAAGAAAGCCUUUGGGCUAAUACCCUCGAGGAUGGACAUCACCCACAGAAGAAGCACCGGCUAACUCCGUGCCAGCAGCCGCGGUAAUACGGAGGGUGCGAGCGUUAAUCGGAAUUACUGGGCGUAAAGCGCGCGUAGGCGGUCUGAUAAGCCGGUUGUGAAAGCCCCGGGCUCAACCUGGGAACGGCAUUCCGGAACUGACAGGCUAGAGUGCAGGAGAGGAAGGUAGAAUUCCCGGUGUAGCGGUGAAAUGCGUAGAGAUAGGGAGGAAUACCAGUGGCGAAGGCGGCCUUCUGGACUGACACUGACGCUGAGGUGCGAAAGCGUGGGUAGCAAACAGGAUUAGAUACCCCAGUAGUC